CGGAAGCUCACUUUCUGUUACAUUUAUCCACCUUCAAAUUAAGUGGACACCAAUGGUGUGGAAAGAGAAGAUAUCAAAUGUUUAUGAAACCUCUGCCUAUUUGCUUUCUCUACUGAUCUGGUAUGACUGCAAAACCUACACCAACACCACAUCGGACAAGUAAACGGAAUAAAUUCUACUCACAAAUCGGUGACUACUAAGGCCAGUGAUCUCAUGGACAGCAGCCCCCUAAGGAACAUUGGAAGAGGCAAACAUGGCAAAAUCAAGAAACCACGUGGGGGACUUCUUGGAGGAGUUCAGAGAGCAGAUCAUUGCGCAGGUGAGAUUAUCUGGGCCCAUAGUAGACGCUGUGAUCUCACAACAUCUUAUCCCAGAAGAGUUUACGCACCGCGUCCGUGCAGCCCAGACCACACAAGACCAGAUGAGGGCUCUGUUUGAAGCCGUAGAGAGAGAGACACCACAAACCAAACUUGCAUUCCAUCUGAUAUUGAGACGGAAAGAGCCUGAACUCAUGGACAAGCUAGAGCAGAGACAACGAAACAGUAAGAUGACACAGACAGGAUUGGAUCAAAGGUAUGGAGAUACCACAACAUUAGAGGAUAAGACAACACCAAAACUUGGCAUACAGACAAAAAAGGAAUCUCUUAAGAGACGAAGACAAGAAACAAUGCAAGCAAUUGAGGAGAUUGAAAAACUUUGGGAGGGGUCAAGAAGGGAGAGAAAUGAAACUAACUACAUGAAAGCAAAGAUUAAGCAACAACAAGAGGAAAUAGAAAGGCUAAUGGCUGAGAAACAAGAGCAAAACACAAAGAUGGAGCUGAUGAGGAUGGAGAUCCAGAAUGUGAAUGAAAAACUGAAACAGAACAUGGAGGAAAUAAAUAUAGAGAAAGACGGAAUACGACAAAUGUGGGCUGAUGUCCAAACAGAGAAAGACAUUCUGGAGAGAAGACACAAUGAGACCAUUAACGAGAGACAGAGUUUGGAAUUGAUCAAGUAUGAGACAUUGAGAGCAAAAGAGGAGAUGGAGCACUGCAAGGAAACAACAAAACAAGAGCAGGAGAAAAUGGAACAGAUUAAGGCUGACAUUCAGGGACAGAUAGAGGACAUGGAAAUAAGAAUUGCAGAAACCAAUCAAGUAAAAGAAAAAAUGGAAGCGAUGAAGGCCGAUGUACACAGGGAGCAAGGUCAGCUGGAGACAAAAAGAGAUGACAUUAAAAGACAAAAAGAACAGUUUGAACAGAUUAAAUGUGAGAUAAACAAAGUAAAAGAAGAGAUGGAUCGAAGGUGGUAUGAAACGGAGAAAGAAGAGCUUGAGCAGAGAGUUAGGAUCCAGCAAGAGAAAGAGGAACUUGCCACCGUAAAAGCUGAGCUGCAGAGAGCUAAAGAGGAGGUUGAUCAAAACAGGGAGAAGACGAAGCAAGAGAAGGACCUGGUCAACAAAAUGAAAGCAGAGAUUCUUCUAGAAAAGGAUUCACUUG
rnacentral:lncRNA from 1 species